GUGCUCAGUUUGGCAGCUCAUAUACAAAUAUUGAAAUGACACAGAGAAGAUUAACAUGGGCCCAGUGCAAGGAUAACAAUGCAAAUUUGUGAUUUUCCAUAAUUUUUG